UCAAAGGAAUGCAUUUGGAAGAGCUGGGGCCAAGUGAGCCCUUCUCUACCUCUGCUGUGGCCACAUUUGUAGAAUUGCCUCAAGGCUAAAUUCCCAAGAUUGCCUUGCCUGACAAGGACUCUUAAUAGGGUUUGUGGUCCCAUCAGAGUCUUUGUAAUCACUCCUUACCUCCACUGAACAUGUGGAUGAGAAAAGAGUUCACUCCCCAAUUCUGACAUAGCAUAUUUUCCAGUAUCUUCACUGAAGAGCGGAGCAUGAAAGGUUUUCUCUGUGGCUAAUCAGUUUAUCCAGAGGAGAGUCGUCCGAUCUCCUGCAUAGAGGAUUUAAGUCUGGCAAUUAGUAUUCUAGGAGUCUACAGAGAAGGCAGCCAUUCAGCAUGUGGAGCAUCUGCAGUACAGUCUCGCCCACCCCCUGCACCAGCUGUGCCUGGUAUCUCAGGUACCCAAUCCUCUCUAGCCCCUCGUGCACCCCACUUUCAGAGGUCCCUGGCACCUAAAAUUACCAAGGUUCUUCCCUGCGUAUUCACCUCCUGGGUCACCUCCACAACCUGCUGAGACCGCAGCGUUCUCCAACCCGUGCCAGCAGCCAAGCUGGCUUCAGCGCUCCGACUUCCACAGUCUUGGUGCUGUUCUCUCUUCCCAUUUUCCUCAUCCUUGUGGGAUUACAACUUUCUUUCUUUUUUCCAGUGAAAGUAAAAAUAAACUUAUGAAUUUAAUCGAC